GCCGUGAAAGCCCUCGAUUCUCUGUCUAUCGGUAGACGGCCUACGCACGGGAACGACGGAGAUUUUUUCAACUACUUGAUAGUCCCUCUUUACCUCGCUCCCUUAAGUUGACGCCUAUGCGCCUGCGCGGGAAUGACGAUGAAAAACAAACCUUGAUAUAAGCCUUUCCAUUCUAAAUUGUUUUUUUCUAUUAGCCAUUUCUAAAAAACCACCGUCGUCCCGCGCAGGCGGGGACCCA
rnacentral:antisense_RNA from 1 species